AUGAACAUAUCUUUAAAACAAUUUUUGUCAGAUGAGUGAAUCAAUGAAGAGCCAAACCAUCUUUAUAAACUUUAAAGUUCAACUUCUCUCUUUUAUGAUCAUUUUCCCUUUGGCUCAGGCAUCAGUAGUUCCUGGUGUCAGAUUUUUAGUAUGAUGCAAAUGACUGAAGCUACAAAUCACUGUCAAUGGCAUGUGCAGAGUAAGCUACCCUAACACCAAGUAGGUGGCAGUCAAAGAUAAGAAAACGCAGGGCUCUAAGAAAACGAGA